UACGUAGGUGGCAAGCGUUUGUCCGGAUUUAGCUGGGCGUAAAGAGCGCGCAGGCGGUCGGAUAAGUUCGAAUGUGAAAGCCCCCGGCUCAACUGGGGAGGGUCAUUCGAUACUGUUCGACUCGAAGGCAGGAGAGGGAAGUGGAAUCCCGGUGUAGUGGUGAAAUGCGUAGAUAUCGGGAGGAACACCGAGUGGCGAAGGCGACUUCCUGGCCUGUUCUUGACGCUGAGGCGCGAAAGCUAGGGGAGCAAACGGGG
rnacentral:rRNA from 1 species